CCCUCCCCUAAAUCACUCCAAAAAAAACAAUCCCCAAUUCUACACAAGUGUUUCUACACUAACAAAGCAACAGCUCCUUAACGAAUUCCCAACUUUACACGAGCUCGUCUCUCGAGGUUAAAUGUUAUUACUUGGUAAGAUUCCGGACCUCGCCAAGUGUUUUGAAAACCCGCAACGCUCGCAAAGGUGCAUAGUGAGAAUAAUAAGUGAAGAGACAGACUUGUCCAAAACGCCCACCACGAAGGUGCAUAGUGAGAAGAGUAAGUCAAGAGAUAGACUUGUCCAAAAAGAAACGGAAGAGAAAGCUUGGGGAGACGCUCACGAAGGUGCAUAGUGAGAAGAGUAAGUCAAGAGAUAGACUUGUUCAAAAAGAAACAGAAGAGAAUGCUUGGGGUUACACUCACGAAGGUGCAUAGUGAGAAGAGUAAGUCAAGAGACAGACUUGUUCAAAAAGAAACGAAAGAGAAUGCUUGGGGAGAUAGAAGUGUGAGAUAGUUCUCAAGCUAAGAAAGUUGUAAAAGCUAAGAACUAGCAAGUAAUCGUCCAGGAUUCCUCGACCAGGACUUGAAAUCGUCGAGGGAAAAAAAUCGGUUCCGAGGAAUCGUCGAUCCGGACUUGGAAUCGUCGAGAAAAGUUUACCGGGUCCGAGGAUUUGUCGACCAGGAGUGGAAAUCGUCGAGAAAAAUCUAUCGGGUCCGAGGAAUCGUCGACCAGGACGAGGAAUCGUCGACCGGGUCCGAGGAUUUGUCGACCAGGGGUUGAAAUCGUCGACCAGGUCCGAGACUUCAUCGACCGGGUCCGAGGAUUCGUCGAC
rnacentral:misc_RNA from 1 species